CACGUAGGAGGCAAGCGUUAUCCGGAUUUAUUGGGCGUAAAGGGCAAGUAGGCGGUGGCCAAAGUUGGGCGUGACAUCUCUCGGCUCAACCGGGAAGGUGCGUCCAAAACUAGGUCACUAGAGGGCAGGAGAGGGAAGCGGAAUUUCCAGUGUAGCGGUGGAAUGCUCAGAUAUUGGAAAGAACACCAGUGGCGAAGGCGGCUUCCUGGCCUGUACCUGACGCUGAGAGGCGAAAGCUAGGGUAGCAAACGGGCUUAGAUACCCCGGUAGUCCUAGCUGUAAACGUUGGAUACUAGGUAUUGGGGGAGUAGAGUCCCUCAGUGCCGAAGCAAACGCGUUAAGUAUCCCGCCUGGGGACUACGGCCGCAAGGUUAAA
rnacentral:rRNA from 1 species